rnacentral:rRNA from 2 species
GGGUUGUGAGGUUAAGCGACUAAGCGUACACGGUGGAUGCCCUGGCAGUCAGAGGCGAUGAAGGGCGUGCUAAUCUGCGAUAAGCGCCGGUAAGGUGAUAUGAACCGUUAUAACCGGCGAUACCCGAAUGGGGAAACCCAGUGUGAUUCGUCACACUAUCAUUAACUGAAUCCAUAGGUUAAUGAGGCGAACCGGGGGAACUGAAACAUCUAAGUACCCCGAGGAAAAGAAAUCAACCGAGAUUCCCCCAGUAGCGGCGAGCGAACGGGGAGGAGCCCAGAGCCUGAAUCAGCAUGUGUGUUAGUGGAAGCGUCUGGAAAGGCGCGCGAUACAGGGUGACAGCCCCGUACACAAAAGCGCAUGUGCUGUGAGCUCGAUGAGUAGGGCGGGACACGUGGUAUCCUGUCUGAAUAUGGGGGGACCAUCCUCCAAGGCUAAAUACUCCUGACUGACCGAUAGUGAACCAGUACCGUGAGGGAAAGGCGAAAAGAACCCCGGCGAGGGGAGUGAAAAAGAACCUGAAACCGUGUACGUACAAGCAGUGGGAGCACNNNNNNNNNNGUGUGACUGCGUACCUUUUGUAUAAUGGGUCAGCGACUUAUAUUCUGUAGCAAGGUUAACCGAAUAGGGGAGCCGGAGGGAAACCGAGUCUUAAUUGGGCGUUAAGUUGCAGGGUAUAGACCCGAAACCCGGUGAUCUAGCCAUGGGCAGGUUGAAGGUUGGGUAACACUAACUGGAGGACCGAACCGACUAAUGUUGAAAAAUUAGCGGAUGACCUGUGGCUGGGGGUGAAAGGCCAAUCAAACCGGGAGAUAGCUGGUUCUCCCCGAAAGCUAUUUAGGUAGCGCCUCGUGAAUUCAUCUCCGGGGGUAGAGCACUGUUUCGGCUAGGGGGCCAUCCCGGCUUACCAACCCGAUGCAAACUGCGAAUACCGGAGAAUGUUAUCACGGGAGACACACGGCGGGUGCUAACGUCCGUCGUGAAGAGGGAAACAACCCAGACCGCCAGCUAAGGUCCCAAAGUCAUGGUUAAGUGGGAAACGAUGUGGGAAGGCCCAGACAGCCAGGAUGUUGGCUUAGAAGCAGCCAUCAUUUAAAGAAAGCGUAAUAGCUCACUGGUCGAGUCGGCCUGCGCGGAAGAUGUAACGGGGCUAAACCAUGCACCGAAGCUGCGGCAGCGACACUGUGUGUUGUUGGGUAGGGGAGCGUUCUGUAAGCCUGUGAAGGUGUGUCGUGAGGCAUGCUGGAGGUAUCAGAAGUGCGAAUGCUGACAUAAGUAACGAUAAAGCGGGUGAAAAGCCCGCUCGCCGGAAGACCAAGGGUUCCUGUCCAACGUUAAUCGGGGCAGGGUGAGUCGACCCCUAAGGCGAGGCCGAAAGGCGUAGUCGAUGGGAAACGGGUUAAUAUUCCCGUACUUGGUGUUACUGCGAAGGGGGGACGGAGAAGGCUAUGUUGGCCGGGCGACGGUUGUCCCGGUUUAAGCGUGUAGGUGUGUGUUCCAGGUAAAUCCGGUUCACUUUAACACUGAGGCGUGACGACGAGGCACUACGGUGCUGAAGCAACAAAUGCCCUGCUUCCAGGAAAAGCCUCUAAGCAUCAGGUAACAUCAAAUCGUACCCCAAACCGACACAGGUGGUCAGGUAGAGAAUACCAAGGCGCUUGAGAGAACUCGGGUGAAGGAACUAGGCAAAAUGGUGCCGUAACUUCGGGAGAAGGCACGCUGACACGUAGGUGAAGUGAUUUACUCAUGGAGCUGAAGUCAGUCGAAGAUACCAGCUGGCUGCAACUGUUUAUUAAAAACACAGCACUGUGCAAACACGAAAGUGGACGUAUACGGUGUGACGCCUGCCCGGUGCCGGAAGGUUAAUUGAUGGGGUCAGCGCAAGCGAAGCUCCUGAUCGAAGCCCCGGUAAACGGCGGCCGUAACUAUAACGGUCCUAAGGUAGCGAAAUUCCUUGUCGGGUAAGUUCCGACCUGCACGAAUGGCGUAAUGAUGGCCAGGCUGUCUCCACCCGAGACUCAGUGAAAUUGAACUCGCUGUGAAGAUGCAGUGUACCCGCGGCAAGACGGAAAGACCCCGUGAACCUUUACUAUAGCUUGACACUGAACAUUGAGCCUUGAUGUGUAGGAUAGGUGGGAGGCUUUGAAGUGUGGACGCCAGUCUGCAUGGAGCCGACCUUGAAAUACCACCCUUUAAUGUUUGAUGUUCUAACGUGGACCCGUUACCCGGGUUGCGGACAGUGUCUGGUGGGUAGUUUGACUGGGGCGGUCUCCUCCUAAAGAGUAACGGAGGAGCACGAAGGUUGGCUAAUCCUGGUCGGACAUCAGGAGGUUAGUGCAAUGGCAUAAGCCAGCUUGACUGCGAGCGUGACGGCGCGAGCAGGUGCGAAAGCAGGUCAUAGUGAUCCGGUGGUUCUGAAUGGAAGGGCCAUCGCUCAACGGAUAAAAGGUACUCCGGGGAUAACAGGCUGAUACCGCCCAAGAGUUCAUAUCGACGGCGGUGUUUGGCACCUCGAUGUCGGCUCAUCACAUCCUGGGGCUGAAGUAGGUCCCAAGGGUAUGGCUGUUCGCCAUUUAAAGUGGUACGCGAGCUGGGUUUAGAACGUCGUGAGACAGUUCGGUCCCUAUCUGCCGUGGGCGCUGGAGAACUGAGGGGGGCUGCUCCUAGUACGAGAGGACCGGAGUGGACGCAUCACUGGUGUUCGGGUUGUCAUGCCAAUGGCACUGCCCGGUAGCUAAAUGCGGAAGAGAUAAGUGCUGAAAGCAUCUAAGCACGAAACUUGCCCCGAGAUGAGUUCUCCCUGAGACUUAGAGUCUCCUGAAGGAACGUUGAAGACGACGACGUUGAUAGGCCGGGUGUGUAAGCGCAGCGAUGCGUUGAGCUAACCGGUACUAAUGAACCGUGAGGCUUAACCUUACAACGCCGAAG